rnacentral:tRNA from 1 species
UUGGAGGUAGAGCACUUGUUUAGAAUGCAUGAGGCCCUGGGUUCAAUUCCCAGCCUACAAA